rnacentral:rRNA from 1 species
UACGUAGGUGGCAAGCGUUGUCCGGAUUUACUGGGCGUAAAGAGCGCGCAGGCGGCCGAGUAAGUCGAAUGUGAAAGCCCCCGGCUCAACUGGGGAAGGUCAUUCGAUACUGUUCGGCUCGAAGAUAGGAGAGGGAAGCGGAAUUUCAGGUGUAGUGGUGAAAUGCGUAGAUAUCGCUUGGAACGCCAAAGGUGAAGACAGGUGACUGGGGGUGUGCCGACGCUGAGACGCGAAAGCCAGGGGAGCAAACGGG